rnacentral:rRNA from 1 species
GAGCGGUGGAAUGCGUAGAUACUGUGAGGUACCCCGAUGGCGAAGGCAACCCUCUGGCCUGUUACCGACGCUGAAGCGCGAAAGCGUGGGGAGCGAAGGGGAUUAGAUACCCCCGUAGUCCACGCCGCAAACGAUGUUCACUGGGUGUCGGUCAUUAAUUAGAUCGGUGCCGGAGUUAACGCAUUAAGCGAACCGCCUGGGGACUACGGCCGCAAGGCUAAAACUCAAGAGAAUUGACGGGGCCCUGCACAAGCGGUGGAGCACGUGGUUUAAUUCGAUGAUAAGCGAAGAACCUUACCUGGGCUUGACAUGCUAGCAGUAGGAGCCAGGGAUGGUAACGACCCCUACCUUUGGUAGGGGAACUAGUACAGGUGAUGCAUGGCUGUCGUCAGCUCGUGUCGUGGGACGUUGGGUUAAGUCCCGAAACGAGCGCAACCCCUGUUGUUAGUUGCCAGCGGGUAAUGCCGGGGACUCUAACAAGACUGCUGGUGAAUAGCCGGAGGAAGGAGGGGAUGACGUCAAGUCAUCAUGUCCCUUAUGUCCAGGGCGACACACAUGCUACAAUGGGAGGUACAAUGGGCUGCUAAACCGCAAGGUCAUGCGAAUCCCAAAAAGCCUUCCUCAGUUCGGAUUGAGGUCUGCAACCCGACCUCAUGAAGCCGGAAUCGCGUAGUAAUCGCAGGUCAGCCACACUCGGUG